GUGAGGAAUAUUGGUCAAUGGGCGGGAGCCUGAACCAGCCAAGUCGCGUGAAGGAAGAAGGAUCUAUGGUUCGUAAACUUCUUUUGCAGGGGAAUAAAGUGCAGGACGUGUCCUGUUUUGUAUGUACCCUGAGAAUAAGGAUCGGCUAACUCCGUGCCAGCAGCCGCGGUAAUACGGAGGAUCCGAGCGUUAUCCGGAUUUAUUGGGUUUAAAGGGUGCGUAGGUGGUUUGAUAAGUCAGCGGUGAAAGUUUGCAGCUUAACUGUAAAAAUGCCGUUGAAACUGUCGGACUUGAGUGUAAAUGAGGUAGGCGGAAUGCGUGGUGUAGCGGUGAAAUGCAUAGAUAUCACGCAGAACUCCGAUUGCGAAGGCAGCUUACUAAGCUACAACUGACACUGAAGCACGAAAGCGUGGGGAUCAAACAGGAUUAGAUACCCUGUAGUCC
rnacentral:rRNA from 1 species